rnacentral:rRNA from 1 species
AGCGGAUAGCGGCGGACGGGUGAGUAACACGUGAGUAACUUGCCUUAGACAUUGGGAUAGCCUCGGGAAACCGGGAUUAAUACCAAAUAAAAUCAUAAUGACACAUGUCAUAACGAUCAAAACUCCGGUGGUCUAAGAUGGACUCGCGUCCCAUUAGCUAGUUGGUAGAGUAAAAGCCUACCAAGGCGACGAUGGGUAGCCGGCCUGAGAGGGUGAACGGCCACAUUGGGACUGAGAAACGGUCCAA